CGCUAGUAUAGUUAGUUCGAUUUCGAAAAAAAAAAAUUUAGUGAAAAAAAUCGAUACGGGGGGGUAUACCCGAAAAACAAAAAAAACCCAGACUUUGGAGAUCGAUAUCUUGGCUUCUACUGGUCCGAUCUGGAAAAUUCCAACAGUUUUGUCUUAGUUUCGUCUUUCUGAAUCCAACGAGACCAUCCGCAAGGUCGUAGCUCUGAUAGUAGCUGAGAUAUCGCAUUUUUGGAGCCCAUUUUUGGCCUCAAAAACGAGGUCGAAAAAUGAUUUUUUCCGAAUUUUCAAAGAGUUGUUAUUCAGUUAGUUCUGCUCGAAUCUCGUUAUAACCCGGUAUUUUCGUAUUGUAUGUGGUCUAAAGAAGACGCUGGUAUAGUUAGUUCGAUUUCGAAAAAAAAAAUUUAGUGAAAAAAAUCGAUACGGGGGGGGUAUACCCGAAAAACGAAAAAACCCAAACUUUGGAGAUCGAUAUCUUGGCUUCUACUGGUCCGAUCUGGAAAAUUCCAACAGUUUUGUCUUAGUUUCGUCUUUCUGAAUCCAACGAGACCAUCCGCAAGGUCGUAGCUCUGAUAGUAGCUGAGAUAUCGCAUUUUUGGAGCCCAUUUUUGGCCUCAAAAACGAGGUCGAAAAAUGACUUUUUCCGAAUUUUCAAAGUGUUGUUAUUCAGUUAGUUCUGCUCGAAUCUCGUUAUAACCCGGUAUUUUCGUAUUGUAUGUGGUCUAAAGAAGACGCUGGUAUAGUUAGUUCGAUUUCGAAAAAAAAAAAUUUAGUGAAAAAAAUCGAUACGGGGGGGUAUACCCGAAAAACGAAAAAACCCAAAUUUUGGAGAUCGAUAUCUUGGCUUCUACUGGUCCGAUCUGGAAAAUUCCAACAGUUUUGUCUUAGUUUCGUCUUUCUGAAUCCAACGAGACCAUCCGCAAGGUCGUAGCUCUGAUAGUAGCUGAGAUAUCGCAUUUUUGGAGCCCAUUUUUGGCCUCAAAAACGAGGUCGAAAAAUUACUUUUUCCGAAUUUUCAAAGUGCUGUCAUUCAGUUAGUUCUGCUCGAAUCUCGUUAUAACCC